UCGAUUAAUGGGUAUUAUGGGAUAAUAUGUAAUGGGUAGUGAUAAGCCGUUGAUUUAACCCUAAUUGGGACUGUAUAUGCUGAAAUGAUGUGGAAUAAACUGUGUUAAAACUGUAAAUUGAAUCGAUAGUUGUGUGAGUCGUAAAUGUUAGACUAUGGCACGGAUCCCAAUUAAAAACUUGAAUCGGCACUACCAAUCUAGAGACAAAUUGGGUUUUAGAUGCGGGAGCAGCCGGGAAAACCGGAUAGGC
rnacentral:lncRNA from 1 species